UACGAAGGGGGCUAGCGUUGUUCGGAUUUACUGGGCGUAAAGCGCACGUAGGCGGCUUUGUAAGUAAGAGGUGAAAGCCCAGAGCUCAACUCUGGAAUUGCCUUUUAGACUGCAUCGCUUGAAUCAUGGAGAGGUCAGUGGAAUUCCGAGUGUAGAGGUGAAAUUCGUAGAUAUUCGGAAGAACACCAGUGGCGAAGGCGGCUGACUGGACAUGUAUUGACGCUGAGGUGCGAAAGCGUGGGGAGCAAACAGGAUUGAGAUACC
rnacentral:rRNA from 1 species